rnacentral:rRNA from 1 species
GUAGGUGACACCUUUUCCAGGUUCGCCCAAAUAAGUCUGUGCUGUAGCAGGCAACAUCUCUACUGUGCUAGGAUUCACAAAUAUUGUGAUACCAGCAGCCUAGAAAUAGGCUCACAGGUCAAAUAGAGGUGGCCCUUUGGGGUUAAGAUAUGAUCGAGUUCCUGCUUGAGAUAGCAGGUAUUUCCACGCUGCGGAAGGAUCAUUACAGAGAACAUGCCCUUUAGGGUAUAUCUCCCACCCUUUGUCUACAAUACCUUUGUUGCUUUGGCAGGCCCGUCUCACGACUACUGGCUUUAGCUGGUCCGUGCCUGCCAGAGGACCCCAACACUCUUAUUAUGUCGUCUGAGUACUAUAAAAAUAGUUAAAACUUUCAACAACGGAUCUCUUGGUUCUGGCAUCGAUGAAGAACGCAGCGAAAUGCGAUAAGUAAUGUGAAUUGCAGAAUUCAGUGAAUCAUCGAAUCUUUGAACGCACAUUGCACCCUCUGGUAUUCCGGGGGGUAUGCCUGUUCGAGCGUCAUUGCAACCCUCAAGCAUUGCUUGGUAUUGGAUGUCACCGCGUUGGUGCAUCUCAAAAGUAUUGGUGGUGGCAUUCAGCUUCUAGCGUCGUAAAUAUCUCGCAUUGGAGUUUGAGUGUCUGAUUGCUAGAACCCCUAAAUUUAUCAAAGGUUGACCUCGGAUCA